CAGCACCUCAAGUGGUCAGGAUGAUUAUUGGGCCUAAAGCAUCCGUAGCCGGCGCUGUAAGUUUUCGGUUAAAUCUGUACGCUCAACGUACAGGCUGCCGGGAAUACUGCAGCGCUAGGGAGUGGGAGAGGUAGACGGUACUCGGUAGGAAGGGGUAAAAUCCUUUGAUCUAUUGAUGACCACCUGUGGCGAAGGCGGUCUACCAGAACACGUCCGACGGCGAGGGAUGAAAGCUGGGGGAGCAAACCGGAUUAGAGACCCGAGUAGUCC
rnacentral:rRNA from 1 species